GCAUUGCGAUCAAUAUAGAAUGUUUAUGGAUGUUUGAUGGAAGCUAAAGGAUUCAAUAUAUUAUUCGCUGCUAAAAAUCGAACUUGGCUUCGCAGAACAAAUCAUUUCAUUUAAACAAUUGGCCGAAGAAAGUCUGGAAUAUACGACUAGAUAUAAAGCAUUAAUAUUCCAUAAUAAAUGUCAGUCUCACCAAGAAAAAACUCUAUGAUUUCUUAUGGUUUAUACAUUUUUUUAAAAACUUUCACUUCCCUGUAUUGUUAAUUUUUUUUAAGUUUUUUUCUAUCUACUAUGUUAAUUGUUUAAUAUGCCUAUUGUAGCAUGUUUAGUAAUCUACUCACUCAUACACUUUGUUUCAUUUUUAUAUACCCCCACUCAUUACAAGUCUUACACCAAAAUGAUGAGUUGCAGACACAACAUUGGCUUGGAAGUUGGGUAAUGAAGAUUGUAAUUACAUUUUAAGAAAAUUACUUGAAAAGACAAUAAGAAUUAAAUUGAAAUAAACAAUUAUGGUUUUUACUCUUUAUUUUUUGUUUUCUUUCUUUUUUGAUAAAGUUGAAUGAUGUGUUUGAAAGAGUAGAAAAACAAUUUGAGUGCUAUUUUGGUAAGAGUGUGAAAUAGUGGUGAGUAAUUUGCGAGUGUUUAGUGUGGUGUUAAUAUUUUGUUGUUGUGAGUGUGAGUGUUUUUUUUUUUGUAUCAUGGGGUAUAAUUUUAUUUAAUUACGUGCUCUUUCUUUAGUAACAUGGUGGUGAAUUUGUUAUUUGGUUUCUUUGUGUAUUUGGUGUGAUGAGGAGCCAGCCAACAACUUUUCAUAUGAAUUUAGUGUUUUAGUCGAAAACGAGUGCUUGGAGACUUCACAUAUUGGAGGAUCAAAUCCACGUUAUAAAGUUGUGAACAGAAAACACAAAAAUAUCACUACUACCACUAUUACUUGUGUAUUUUUUGCUCUUGGGUGUUUUUUCUUCUUCAUUAUUAAAACAACAGAAAAAAAGGAGAAAUAUUUUUAUUUUUGAAA